AGGAGGCGGGAGAGACGGCAUUACAUUAUUGUGUUCGGACAGCUGAUCACUCCUCUCUCCACCUGGUCGACUUCCUGGUCCAGAACAGUGGUAACCUGGACGGACAGACGGAUGGAGGGAACACAGCUCUGCAUUACUGCUGCCUGUACAACAAACCACAGUGUGUGAAACUGCUACUGAGAGGAAAACCUGACAUCCACAUCACCAAUCAGAGUGGAGAGACGGCACUGGACAUUGCCCGCAGACUGAAAAACUCCCAGUGUGAAGAACCG